CCAAUCUACAAUGGGAGUCUGAACUGGGGCCACUUGAGGGGGUCUUGUAGAAGAGGAAAACUUGUGGCGCAAUGGGAUGUCCAGGGACACAGAUAGCCAGGUGACACACAGUGACCUUCCUCAGGAGAGUGGAAGCUCUGCAGGUGGGGAUAAUAGGACCUACCUAGCUGGGCUGUUAUGAAGGCUAAACGAGGAAACACUUGUAAAGUUCUCAGAACUGUGCCUCGAACAAGGGCUGCCUGAGUAUCUUUGAGAAAUGCCCAAGGGUCCUCUUGAGGAAGGGGAUCGUCCAUUGGCACCUGGAGCCUUCCAUGGAAACUGGUUGGCUGGCUCUCCAUUUUACGCUAGAGUCAUCUCAGACAUCAGUUAGCUACCAAGGCAAGUCGUUAACAUGCAUGACAAUGAAUCCAGUCUUGGCAAUCAUCGUAAUUAAGUGUGCACACUGUAUCAGGGUGCUGAUUAAGUGGCUUCAAUUUUAUGGGUAUGAUUCCUAAUGAUCGUUCUUUUUACUGAUUAAGAUGCAUUAAGCCUCAGAGGACAUUGGGGAUUCCUAUGCACUUGGAAGGAGGAGACUGAAGCCACACAGUGUCUGGAAAGGAAAACCCUUGAUUAAUCACCAGAGAAGAGGAAAGGAAUUUUCUAAGGUGUUUUCUAAGCUGAGUUCAUCCCAAAGAUGUCAGAGUGCUAGAAAAGAGAUGACUCCAAACAAGUCCAACCUGACUAUGGCAUUUGAGAGUUGAAUGUGGCAUUGGAGCUUGUUUUGUUUUUGUUUUCCUGAAAAAAUUAACCAAGGGAAAUUUCAAAUUUUUCAGCCUGUCUAAAUACGGACAAAUGUCCCAAGAAGCUAAAAGCACCAGUAUAUGCCACCCUUGGUUCCUGUCCUCAUCCCUAUCCCUGCACAGUGUAGCUUUCACGAUUACCAACCAACACCCAUCAUCUCCUCUAACCAUCACCCAUGGGCAUCCUGCAAGACACAUACAAGAAAAUGACACCGCAUUUCACUUACCUGAAAUCAAUAUAGUACGACUGGAAAAAGAAAUAAAGGUUUAUCCCUUUGUCCUUCUCAUGUUUAAAAUACCCAUGGACUCAUACAUGACCCAGAAAAGGGAGCUCACAGCCAAAUUACAGAGAGGAGCAGAAGUUUGUCUUGGGUUUUGAGUUUUCUGAUGAGUUAAUGGAGGUGUGUGGGAUGUAGGGUAUUUUUAACACUUGAGAAGCCCCCAGCUUUGCUUCAUUCUCUGUCUCUCUCUCUCUGUCAUAAUCACCUCUCUUGCUAAAAGAGAAGCUCACCAUCCCAUAAGACACCAUGCCAGAAGCAGGGAUGUCCUCACCCAUCACCACCUCCUCUCUAAUCUCACUGCCCCACUUCCCCUCCAUAACCUGCUCCUCCUCCCCUCCUCUCCCGUCCCCUCCGCUCCGCUCCCUUCCCUUCCCCUUCCCUCUCCUCCCAUCCUCUUCCUCACUGUCUUUCUAGCAUAUCCACUUCUCUAUCCCCAUUGAUGUGACUUUAGCAGGAUCCUCAUUCACAACUUCAGCUAUUGCAUUUUCUCCCAACUGGGCUCCUGCUUCUUUUCUUAUGGGAUCAUAAUCCCUCCUUCAUUCAGCAACCAAGAUGAAUUUUAUGUUGUACAAAUAUGGUUAUAUUCACUCCUUGUUUAAAGUAAAUGCCUCUUAAUUUCCUGGGUAUAAAGCAAAAAUACAUUAGCUUAGCUUAGAAGUCUUCCAUGGUCAGCAUCUCUCUGCCCCCAGCACUCUCUGACUUCCAGCCAUAGAGACAUUCCUGCAAUGUCCCCAUAUACUAUACCUUCUUGUGUCCCCAUGCAUUGGACACAGAUAGGGCUCCCCAUUGCUCUUAGAAUAAAUGUUCAUGUACCUCUACUUUGUGGCACUUAAACUACAGCUGUGCGUUUUUACACUUACCUGUGCAUGUGUUUUGCUUCCUUGACUUUCUGUAGACUCAAGAGGGCCGCAGUCUUGUAUUGGUGGUGUUUGUUGGUUUGAGUCGUUCCUUACUAUGUUAUCCCCAAAAUUAGCACAACAUCUGGCCUAUAGUGGAAGCUCAGUAAGUAAAUGUUUAAGGAAUUAAUAAAUUUUAGCAUCUCUUGAGACUUUUAUUGAGCUUGUAAUGCAUAGUUAUAGCAUAAAUGGUUGACGAAUGAAAUGGCCAAGCCAUCUGGCUAGAUGCCAAGGUAUAGUGGCUUUGGAAUCUGGACCCUGUCUACUCCAUCUUCUUGUAUUCAAUAUUCAUUCUGAUUUUGUGGUAAUGUAGAAACUUCUUCUUGUUCCUUGUUCCACGGAACACCCUACCCCAGGGGAAACUGAGGAAAGGGGGAGAGGAGAUGGCCCCCACACUCCUGCUGCUUCCUCUGCAAUUUUCCUUUUCCCUUCUCAACCCAGCUUUAGCCAGACGUCUGACCUCUGUACCUCAGUGGAUCCAACCACCUACCUGAUUAGAUGAGAUGAGGUGGGACAAGGACACGGAAGCCCAAAUCAGAAGAGAAAUUUCAAGAGCUUUAGAAAUGAGGACUUCAACUGUGCAGACUUGGGACUUUUCUGGCUUGAGAGGUGGUAUGCUCAGCCAUCAUUCACUCUCAAGGCACUGCAGAUGGUUGGCCCAGCAGAGGCAGACAUUACAGCUUCAGGGCUAAGUCCUUAACUCAUAUUUGCCUCUUGUACUUUGUAUUUAGCUUACGUGGAAAAUGGAUUUUGGAAUCAUUUGUUUCCUUCCUUGAAUUUGCAGGCUAAACUAAAAAACUGCAGGUCAUAUUUUGACUGGCUGGGGGAUGGGCUGGUGAGGAUGAGUGGAGGAAAUUUCAGCAGGCAAUUUGGCAGGUGAGCUGUGGCUUCUGGGGAACAUUUGUGCAAGUCUGAGCUUUGUGACAAUCCCUCAUUGCCUUUCGCCCUAAGUUUCUUUAAAUUUAUUUCUGUUGCUCCUUAGAUACACUUUAGAUAUAAAUAAUGUUUGUUCCUUCUCUCUAUAGUUCAAUAUAUCAUGAAUUCUUCCCUGGCUGACUCACCACUCUGAGGUUGACUUCUUAUCUAGUUAUCACAGAUCCACCACCUGCUCCUUUUUCCUACUUAAUUCUUUCCAUCAUUUUUCCUGCAGCUUGUAUCUUGACAUCUGUCUGGCUCAUGCUAGAAACUUCAGUCAUCCUUGGUCUGUGAUUCGUUCCACGUCCUGUCACUCACCCUCUUCCCCAACCAUUCCCAGGCUAUGUCCCUUUUUCUCCAUACUUUUGCUAGAGUCUCAUGAUCACUUACUCCCUUGACAGCAAAAGAUCCUAACUUGACCCUGAGAGUUCUGCAAGCCAGAAAUACCGUCUGUCUCACCUCUGAUAUAUCUCUGGUUUUCAUCCCACUGCUUGGAACAGAGUGACUGCUCCAGGUGUAUAAUUUGACUGAGUUAUAAGUCUUCCUUUUUCUGGGUUCAUACCCUCACUGCUCUGUUCCACAUCGUUAAUGACUCCCCAUCACCUAUAGACUAAAGCCCACACUACCAAACAUGGAUAUACAAGACUUUCAUUCAUUUGGCCAUGGAUUAACUUUACAUUGUAAUAUUAAUUUUCAUCUUCUAUCACUCUUAUACAUAAAUUCUCCAUUCCAAAUACUGAUAAUUUCUUGUUCUUCCCUAAACCGAAGGAGAGAACUGUUACCAGAAAGGAGUCUUGAUCUAGACCCCAAGAGAGGUUUCUUGGA
rnacentral:lncRNA from 1 species